rnacentral:rRNA from 1 species
UACGUAGGGAGCAAGCGUUGUCCGGAAUCAUUGGGCGUAAAGCGCGCGUAGGUGGCUUCGUAAGUCCGUUGUGAAAGUCAAAGGCUCAACCUUUGAAAGCCGAUGGAUACUGCGGAGCUAGAGUACGGAAGAGGCGAGUGGAAUUCCUGGUGUAGCGGUGGAAUGCGCAGAUAUCAUUUGGAACGCCAAUGGUGAAAACAACUCGCUGGGGAAGUGCUGACGCUGAGACACGAAAGCCAGGGGAGCGAACGGG